rnacentral:rRNA from 1 species
GCAAUCUACCUUUCACAGAGGGAUAGCCCAGAGAAAUUUGGAUUAAUACCUCAUAGUAUAGCAGUUUCGCAUGAAACCACUAUUAAAGUUCCAACGGUGAAAGAUGAGCAUGCGUCCCAUUAGCUAGAUGGUAAGGUAACGGCUUACCAUGGCAACGAUGGGUAGGGGUCCUGAGAGGGAGAUCC